AUGAACGCUGGCGGCGUGCUUAAUACAUGCAAGUCGAACGAAGAGUGUAGCAAUACUCUCUUAGUGGCGAAUGGGUGCGUAACACGUGGGUGACCUACCCCGAAGUGUGGAAUAACAGUUCGAAAGAACUGCUAAUACCGCAUGUGGUCCCGGUUUUUAGAAAGCCGGGUCUAAAGCAGAAAUGCGCUUCGGGAGGGGCCUGCGGUCCAUCAGCUAGUUGGUAGGGUAAUGGCCUACCAAGGCUACGACGGAUAGGGGACCUGAGAGGGUGACCCCCCACACUGGCACUGAAACACGGGCCAGACGCCUACGGGUGGCAGCAGUAAGGAAUAUUGCCCAAUGGACGAAAGUCUGAGGCAGCAACGCCGCGUGCACGAUGAAGGCCUUCGGGUCGUAAAGUGCUUUUAGGGAGGAUGAGGAAGGACAGUACUCCCAGAAUAAGGUACGGCUAACUACGU
rnacentral:rRNA from 1 species